rnacentral:rRNA from 1 species
GUGCCAGCCGCCGCGGUAAUACGGAGGGGGCUAGCGUUGUUCGGAAUUACUGGGCGUAAAGCGCACGUAGGCGGAUCAGAAAGUUGGGGGUGAAAUCCCGGGGCUCAACCUCGGAACUGCCUUCAAAACUAUUGGUCUUGAGUUCGAGAGAGGUGAGUGGAAUUCCGAGUGUAGAGGUGAAAUUCGUAGAUAUUCGGAGGAACACCAGUGGCGAAGGCGGCUCACUGGCUCGAUACUGACGCUGAGGUGCGAAAGCGUGGGGAGCAAACAGGAUUAGAUA